UCGAUUGAGUUUGAUCAUGGCUCAGGAUGAACGCUAGCGGCAGGCUUAAUACAUGCAAGUCGAGGGGCAGCGGGGGUAGCAAUACCUGCCGGCGACCGGCAAACGGGUGCGGAACACGUACGCAACCUUCCUUUAACUGGAGAAUAGCCCCUCGAAAGAGGGAUUAAUACUCCGUAACAUAUUGAUAAGGCAUCUUAUUAAUAUUAUAGUCUUCGGGCGGUUAAAGAUGGGCGUGCGCCUGAUUAGAUAGUUGGUGAGGUAACGGCUCACCAAGUCUGCGAUCAGUAACUGGUGUGAGAGCACGACCAGUCACACGGGCACUGAGACACGGGCCCGACUCCUACGGGAGGCAGCAGUAAGGAAUAUUGGUCAAUGGACGCAAGUCUGAACCAGCCAUGCCGCGUGGAGGAUUAAGGCCCUCUGGGUUGUAAACUCCUUUUAUCUGGGAAGAAAUGCCAUUUUUCUAAAUGGUUUGACGGUACCAGAGGAAUAAGCACCGGCUAACUCCGUGCCAGCAGCCGCGGUAAUACGGAGGGUGCAAGCGUUAUCCGGAUUCACUGGGUUUAAAGGGUGCGUAGGCGGGCAGGUAAGUCCGUGGUGAAAUCUCUGAGCUUAACUCAGAAACUGCCAUGGAUACUAUUUGUCUUGAAUACUGUGGAGGUAAGCGGAAUAUGUCAUGUAGCGGUGAAAUGCUUAGAUAUGACAUGGAACACCAAUUGCGAAGGCAGCUUACUACACAGUUAUUGACGCUGAGGCACGAAAGCGUGGGGAUCAAACAGGAUUAGAUA
rnacentral:rRNA from 1 species